rnacentral:tRNA from 1 species
AGAUAUGUAGCUUAGUAGUAGAGCAUUAGUAGGUGAAGCUAGAGGUCCUAGGUUCAAGUCCUAGUAUACCUA